AUUGAACGCUGGCGGCAGGCCUAACACAUGCAAGUCGAACGAGUGGCGGACGGGUGAGUAAUUUCUGGGAAACUGCCUGAUGGAGGGGGAUAACUACUGGAAACGGUAGCUAAUACCGCAUACCAUCGGAUGUGCCCCGAUGGGAUUAGCUAGUAGGUGGGGUAAAGGCUCACCUAGGCGACGAUGCCUAGCUGGUCUGAGAGGAUUACCAGCCACACUGGAACUGAGACACGGUCCAGACUCCUACGGGAGGCAGCAGUGGGGAAGAUUGCACAAUGGGCGAAAGCCUGAUGCAGCCAGGCCGCGUGUAUGAAGAAGGCCUUCGGGUUGUAAAGUACUUUCAGCAGGGAAGCGGUACCCGCAGAGAAAGCACCGGCUAACACCGUGCCAGCAGCCGCGGUAAUAC
rnacentral:rRNA from 1 species